rnacentral:sRNA from 1 species
UCAUCCUGGCCCGUUGCCGGAAGACCGCAC